GGCUGAAUUCCAUGGGCUGAAUCCCGUGUGGGCUGAAUUCCACGUCCACCCGGCUGGCGUCAUCAUGCCCAAAAGAAGAAGAAGAAGAAGAGUAGGUCCACGGGCCGGCCUGCGUAGCGCCAUAAACCUUACUUUUUCUCGUGUUUUCCUUCAAACUACAAUGACGAGAAGAUCCACAGCCUGUGAGAAGAAGGUGGAGAGGACAGUGGCGGCCAGGGAAAGGAAGAAACACCGCAGAGAAGCCUUCAUGUGACGAAAGUGCCCUUCCACUACGCCACCACCACAACCACUACCACAACCAGUACCACCACAACCACAACCAGUACCACCACAACCACCACCACCAAAUCACCACACUAAGCGUGAAGAUGUCAGGUCGCAACGCGUUGGUCCAUCGGAGCACCUUCCAGAACGCCAACCAGGUGGUGGAGUUGACCACACGCACCAUUCCCAAGGCUCAACACCACCACCACCACCACCAGCGAGGACAUCAACACCAUUCACCACCACCAUUGAGGCCAGAUCACACCACCACCACCACCAACACCAGGACUGGCUACAGUGAAGGUCGUGGCAGCCAAGCAGAGAGUGUACUGAAACUCCUGCUGUGAGCUACUCGAUCCUGAGGGCCAAGACCUGCACCCUCACCACCCCUGUAAAGGAUGCCCAUCUGACCCAACCCUCCACGUGUGCCCCUGAGAGCUCCCUGCAGCACAGGAGUCUCUUCUUGGACGGCUCAGAGGCACAGAAGAUGUAGCCAGACUUGCCGGCCAAACC